rnacentral:rRNA from 1 species
AUGUGUCACUCGCCGUCGGGAUCACGCGCGACGGCGCGGUCGGGCAGGGUGGAGGAAUUCGCCGACGCGGCAACGGAGGAAGGCGGCGAGUCCAAACUCUCCGCGCUCCUCUACGACGUGUCGCAGCAGGUCCAGGACAGCCUCCAGAGCAUGCUGAAGAUGACGGGCGAGAUCGAGCAGUGCAGUGACGAGAUCGAGGUGGAGAUCGAGCAGGCCAAGGAGGGCGUGGCUGACAAGUACAGGGUGCUCGAGGAGGAGAAGGAAAGGUUCCAGAAGGUGGCCCUCGCGGCGCUCAACAUCCUGAGCGGUGGCAUCUGA